CAGUUGGUUCCUGAAGAAGAUAGAUCACAGAGCGAGUGGGGAGCUGAACUGUGAUCAGGAAAGAAAGCACUGCUGGGCUCUUAUAAGAUUAGGCUUUCCCUAGUGGAGUAAAUAGUAGAAGGAAUAGCUACAGGUUCCGAGCACGAUUUAACGAAAAGGAAAGCAGAAGAGAGAACACAAGUGAAAAGGAAGUGUCCACCUCUCCCCAAUGCAAGGAAGCAAAGAAGAGAGACUUAAGUGAAAGAAGUAGCAGCCUCUACCACAAGAGACAGAGUUCCGGAGGGCAGGCUCAAGAGAUUAGCUGAGCAGGCAGACAAGGAGUGAGAGGAGACUGUUCAGAUAUGCAGAGCCAAGAAAUGUAUUUCUGGCAGUGAGAAGCUAGGAAACAAUAUGCAACAAGAAAAUGUGAUUUGGAGGAAAAAUGAGAUCUGACAAAGUAUCAUGACUGAACAUUGAGGGAUGGGGAAGAAAAUCUUCACACCUGACAUAACAUCAACUGAGCAUACUGCAGUUCCCAACCUCUCUGACAACCCUGAACUGCCCAUCUGGUAAUUCUAUAUUCUAGUGAUGUGGCUGUCCAAAGUUAGCAAAGAAUUUGACCAAAAACCAAGCACUGUUGCCGCUUUGAACUGUUUAUCCCUCCGGGGACAUACUAAGUGGAAAAUGAUAUUUCAGUCCACCUGGGUGCCAGAUGACAACUUAGUAAAAUCCUGCAAGCCCAGAGGGCAACAGACAUAUUUGAGGCAGGAAACAGUUGAGGUCUGAGCAAGCUAGCUCCAAUAGCAGUGUUAUUGAUCUGCUCUAAGCCUACUGGUAUGGAAAAGUAGCCUUCUUGUCUAUAGAAAGGUAACCCCCCCGUCAUUUUCACAAAAUGUUUGGGAAACUACAUCAGAUAGUGGUGUGGCAAACAAAUGUCUGGUUAUAAUGAGAAUUAGGAAAUGCAUGCCUUUUAAUUGUCCAAAGACAUAUCACUAUGGCCCCAGACAAAGCUAAGGAUUUCACUUUCCAGUAUUGUCGAUGAUAUCUUUGGACUUUGUUUCUUCUUAAAAAAAACUAUUAAGUGUCUAUUUAAGAGUAACGUCAGAUUUCUUGAAAAGAAAUUUUGUACUGUAUGGGAAACAUGUAAAUAUAAAUUACUACAUCAACAGCAAAUUUCUCAACAUGAUUUAGUAAAUUAACAAAUCUGAGCAAUUUGAAAAAAUACAGUAUUUUAAUAUUCUGGAAUAUAAUCCCUUAUAAAAGCUUCUCAGCUCUUCACUUCUCCAUUCUCUGGGAAUUUACUCCUAGAGUGAUAGUAUGUUCAAUUUAUGACUUUUCCUUGCUAUCCAAAAUGUACCUGAGUCAAGACUUACUCACCCUUUAAAAUAUUCCACUGCUACCUCAAAUCCAAACACCAGGUAAAAGAGUUAGAGAACAGCGUGAUCCAAAAGUAAAUUAUACUGUUUUUUAGUUCUUAUGCAUAUUAUUAUCCUCUACAUUUGUCAAGAGAUUAUUUUGGGAUUUUUUGUUUUUGUUUUUAAAUCUCAUGUCGUUAUUCCCUGGUGUUACCAAUAACAAAGGGAUUAUUCACAGUAUUGAAUUAUCACUAUUCCUCAGCGAGAUUAACAAGCACAGAUGUGGAAUUAAAUUUCAGUGUGACUACAUGCAUGGAAUCAUAUGAAGACAGAAUGAAAUGAAAAUGCUAUUCACAAAAACAAAAUUCCUGGGUCUACACAGUCAAUGUUGAACCUCAUUCCAGUUUAGGAACCAAACAAGGUGGGACGUACAGACAGUAAUAUCCAAACAAUACUAGUUUUUAAUCCCGAGUAGACAUUUGAUGUAAACAAUUAGAGAAUUCAGUUUUACAGCAAUGACUCAAGCGUGUUUAAGUAGUUUAGAAAGUUUCUUAUCACAUCUUAAUAUUAAUAGAUAGAAAAUCCACAAGAAGCUACUUGAGCUUCAUCAGAGUUCGGUACUGAAAACAGGUGCCCAGGUGUGAAUA